rnacentral:rRNA from 1 species
CGAUGAACCACUUUCGGUGGGGAUUAGUGGCGAACGGGUGAGUAACACGUGGGCAAUCUGCCCUGCACUCUGGGACAAGCCCUGGAAACGGGGUCUAAUACCGGAUACUGAUCAUCUUGGGCAUCCUUGGUGAUCGAAAGCUCCGGCGGUGCAGGAUGAGCCCGCGGCCUAUCAGCUUGUUGGUGAGGUAACGGCUCACCAAGGCGACGACGGGUAGCCGGCCUGAGAGGGCGACCGGCCACACUGGGACUGAGACACGGCCCAGACUCCUACGGGAGGCAGCAGUGGGGAAUAUUGCACAAUGGGCGAAAGCCUGAUGCAGCGACGCCGCGUGAGGGAUGACGGCCUUCGGGUUGUAAACCUCUUUCAGCAGGGAAGAAGCGAAAGUGACGGUACCUGCAGAAGAAGCGCCGGCUAACUACGUGCCAGCAGCCGCGGUAAUACGUAGGGCGCGAGCGUUGUCCGGAAUUAUUGGGCGUAAAGAGCUCGUAGGCGGCUUGUCGCGUCGGUUGUGAAAGCCCGGGGCUUAACCCCGGGUCUGCAGUCGAUACGGGCAGGCUAGAGUUCGGUAGGGGAGAUCGGAAUUCCUGGUGUAGCGGUGAAAUGCGCAGAUAUCAGGAGGAACACCGGUGGCGAAGGCGGAUCUCUGGGCCGAUACUGACGCUGAGGAGCGAAAGCGUGGGGAGCGAACAGGAUUAGAUACCCUGGUAGUCCACGCCGUAAACGGUGGGCACUAGGUGUGGGCGACAUUCCACGUCGUCCGUGCCGCAGCUAACGCAUUAAGUGCCCCGCCUGGGGAGUACG